GCACGCAUGGUUUAAUGGUAAAAUUCUACCCUCCCAAGGUAGAGCUCCGGGUUCGAUUCCCGGUGCGUGCA